UGGGGAAUAUUGCACAAUGGAGGAAACUCUGAUGCAGCGACGCCGCGUGAGCGAUGAAGUAUUUCGGUAUGUAAAGCUCUAUCAGCAGGGAAGAUAAUGACAGUACCUGACUAAGAAGCCCCGGCUAACUACGUGCCAGCAGCCGCGGUAAUACGUAGGGGGCAAGCGUUAUCCGGAUUUACUGGGUGUAAAGGGAGCGUAGACGGAACGGCAAGUUUGAAGUGAAAUACUCGGGCUUAACUCGGGAACUGCUUUGAAAACUGUCGAUCUAGAGUGUCGGAGAGGUAAGUGGAAUUCCUGGUGUAGUAGUGAAAUGCGUAGAUAUCAAGAAGAACACCGGAGGCGAAGGCGGCUUACUGGACGAUAACUGACGUUGAGGCUCGAAAGCGUGGGGAGCAAACAGGAUUAGAUACCCUGGGUAGU
rnacentral:rRNA from 1 species